UACGAAGGGGGCUAGCGUUGCUCGGAAUCACUGGGCGUAAAGGGUGCGUAGGCGGGUCUUUAAGUCAGGGGUGAAAUCCUGGAGCUCAACUCCAGAACUGCCUUUGAUACUGAAGAUCUUGAGUUCGGGAGAGGUGAGUGGAACUGCGAGUGUAGAGGUGAAAUUCGUAGAUAUUGCGUAGAACACCAGUGGCGAAGGCGGCCACCUGGGAAGCGACAGACGCUGAGACGCGAAAGCGUGGGGAUCAAACAGG
rnacentral:rRNA from 1 species